rnacentral:rRNA from 1 species
UUAAAUUGAAGAGUUUGAUCAUGGCUCAGAUUGAACGCUGGCGGCAGGCCUAACACAUGCAAGUCGAACGGUAACAGGAAACAGCUUGCUGUUUCGCUGACGAGUGGCGGACGGGUGAGUAAUGUCUGGGAAACUGCCUGAUGGAGGGGGAUAACUACUGGAAACGGUAGCUAAUACCGCAUAACGUCGCAAGACCAAAGAGGGGGACCUUCGGGCCUCUUGCCAUCGGAUGUGCCCAGAUGGGAUUAGCUAGUAGGUGGGGUAACGGCUCACCUAGGCGACGAUCCCUAGCUGGUCUGAGAGGAUGACCAGCCACACUGGAACUGAGACACGGUCCAGACUCCUACGGGAGGCAGCAGUGGGGAAUAUUGCACAAUGGGCGCAAGCCUGAUGCAGCCAUGCCGCGUGUAUGAAGAAGGCCUUCGGGUUGUAAAGUACUUUCAGCGGGGAGGAAGGGAGUAAAGUU